rnacentral:rRNA from 1 species
GACGAACGCUGGCGGCGUGCUUAACACAUGCAAGUCGAACGAAGUGGCGGACGGGUGAGUAACGCGUAAUCAACCUGCCCUUCAGAGGGGGACAACAGUUGGAAACGACUGCUAAUACCGCAUACUGAAGGAGGGGAAUGCGUCUGAUUAGCUAGUUGGAGGGGUAACGGCCCACCAAGGCGAUGAUCAGUAGCCUGUCUUGGAGGAGGAACGGCCACAGUGGGACUGAGACACGGCCCAGACUCCGACGGGAGGCAGCAGUGGGGAAUCGUCCGAAAUGGACGAAAGGCUGACGGAGCAACGCCGCGUGAGUGAUGACGGCCUUCGGGUGGUAAAGCUCUGUGAAUCGGGACGCGUUACCGGAAUAGAAAGCCACGGCUAACUACGUGCCAGCCGCCGCGGUAAUUC